rnacentral:lncRNA from 1 species
AAAAAAUGAUUUGUUACAUAAAUAGAAUAAAAUAAAAAUUAUCACUUCAACAUAAAUAGAGAAAAUAGAAAGUUCCUUCUCUGUAUAGUUGCCUUCUGUUUAGUACUUUCCUAUGCAAAUCCUAGCCACCUCAGUAGCCCUAUCUCUAGUCUUUAUUUUGCUCAUUAAAUCUGUUGUUCUUUUAGGGUUUCUUUUUCCUGUGCUUUCUCUCUCUGGAGAGCCCUAGCAGAUAGGGAGCUGGUGCGAUUGUGGGGCUUUGUUUUCCUUCCCACAGCGAUCACAGUCCUGUACUGCCUGUUUUCUAGCAUCUGAAAACAAUUGUUUUAUAUAUUUUGUUCAGUUUUUAGUAGUUUACAGUGGAAAGGAUAGUCUUCUGGAAGAAGUCUUGCCCACACUUUUUGUCAUUCUUACCCAAUAGGUAUAAAGUGAUGUAUGACAUUUCAUGUAUAAAUUCGUGUAUACUGUUUAUACAUACUUACAUUUUUUUGGUUACCAGUGUGGUUGAAUAUCUUUUCAUAUACUUAUCGGUCAUUUAUGUUUCAUGUGACCUUUUUUUCCUAUAGAUUUUGGGUUUUUUUCUUAAUGAUUUGUAGGUGUUCUUUUGUACAUUCUGUAUACCAAUUUCUUGUCCACAUUUAAUUUUUUAGUUCUUUCGGAACUAAUUUUUGUGUGUGAAGGAAGGAUCUAAUUUUAAUUUUUUUCAUAUGAGUAGCUGGAAUAAUUUAUUGAACUUUAAAUAUUUCCUACUGACUUUAAAAAAAAAAACACCAACCGUAUUAUAUACUAACCUUUUGUAUGUGUACACUGGCAUGUUUCUAAGUGCCUUAUUUUUUUUUCCUCAGUGGUCUGUGAAUUCCUGCACAACACCAUGUGGUUUUAAUUACUAAAUGUGGGAGAAUGCCAGGUGAGCAAGUUGUCACCGUAGGAAUCAGAAUGGACGUUAUCAUCCGUAGUGAGAAUGGCAAAUGGAUAAUCAACAUCAGCCCAAUUGCCAGACUAAAACAUCAUUAUGACAGACUUCAUUUGCAAGAAUUCUUAAAA